CAGUCGCCACGGUAAUACGAGGGGGGCAAGCGUUGUUCGGAAUUAUUGGGCGUAAAGGGUGCGUAGGCGGUUUGACAAGUCUUAUGUGAAAUCUUCGGGCUCAACCCGAAGUCUGCAUGGGAAACUGUCGGGCUUGAGUAUGGGAGAGGUGAGUGGAAUUUCCGAUGUAGCGGUGAAAUGCGUUGAGAUCGGAAAGAACACCAACGGCGAAAGCACUCUGCUGGGACGAAACUGACGCUGAGAGACGAAAGCUAGGGGAGAAAAUGGGAUUAGAUACCCCAGUAGUCCCUGUCUCUUAUAA
rnacentral:rRNA from 1 species